AUGAACGCUGGCGGCGUGCCUCAUACCUGCAAGUCGAGCGAACAGACGAGGAGCUUGCUCCUCUGACGUUAGCGGCGGACGGGUGAGUAACACGUGGAUAACCUACCUAUAAGACUGGGAUAACUUCGGGAAACCGGAGCUAAUACCGGAUAAUAUAUUGAACCGCAUGGUUCAAUAGUGAAAGACGGUUUUGCUGUCACUUAUAGAUGGAUCCGCGCCGCAUUAGCUAGUUGGUAAGGUAACGGCUUACUAAGGCGACGAUGCGUAGCCGACCUGAGAGGGUGAUCGGCCACACUGGAACUGAGACACGGUCCAGACUCCUACGGGAGGCAGCAGUAGGGAAUCUUCCGCAAUGGGCGAAAGCCUGACGGAGCAACGCCGCGUGAGUGAUGAAGGUCUUCGGAUCGUAAAACUCUGUUAUUAGGGAAGAACAAAUGUGUAAGUAACUAUGCACGUCUUGACGGUACCUAAUCAGAAAGCCACGGCUAACUACGUG
rnacentral:rRNA from 1 species